AAACCAACAGAACAGAAACGAGGUCUUGUUCUAUUAUUCCAUGCAAGUUUAUUCAGGCGACUCGCCUGCGUUGAGCACUCUAAUUUUUUCAAAGUAAAAGCACCGGCCAUCUCGAGGCACACAAUGAAGUGCACCAAGAAAGAACCGGCAUGAUGUUCAGUCCGAGCCGUCGCAUCGGGUAGAUGCACUACUCGUCUGGAACUGAGAUCCAACUACGAGCUUUUACUUUUUAGGUGCUCAACGCAGGCGAGUCGCCUGAAUAAACUUGCAUGGAAUAAUAGAACAAGACCUCGUUUCUGUUCUGUUGGUUUUUGGAAUACGAGGUAAUGAUUAAAGGGACGGACGGGGGCAUUCGUAUUGCGGCGCUAGAGGUCAAAUUCUUGGACCGUCGCAAGACGAACUACUGCGAAAGCAUUUGCCAAGAAUGUUUUCAUUGAUCAAGAACGAAAGUCAGAGGUUCGAAGGCGAUCAGAUACCGCCCUAGUUCUGACCAUAAACGAUGCCAACCAGCGAUCCGCCUGAGUUACUCAAAUGACUCGGCGGGCAGUUUCCGGGAAACCAAAGUAUUUGGGUUCCGGGGGAAGUAUGGUUGCAAAGCUGAAACUUAAAGGAAUUGACGGAAGGGCACCACCAGGAGUGGAGCCUGCGGCUUAAUUUGACUCAACACGGGAAAACUUACCCGGCCCGGACACUGGGAGGAUUGCAGAUUGAGAGCUCUUUCUUGAUUCGGUGGAUGGUGGUGCAUGGCCGUUCUUAGUUGGUGGAGCGAUUUGUCUGGUUAAUUCCGAUAACGAACGAGACUCUAGCCUAUUAAAUAGGUGCGGGGUUCCCAGCACCUUACAACCUUCUUAGAGGGACAAGCGGCUCCUAGCCGCACGAAACAGAGCAAUAACAGGUCUGUGAUGCCCUUAGAUGUCCGGGGCCGCACGCGCGCUACACUGAAGGAAGCAGUGUCUUUAUCCCUGUCUGAAAAGACUGGGUAACCCGUGGAACUUCUUUCGUGAUUGGGAUAGGGGCUUGCAAUUGUUCCCCUUGAACGAGGAAUUCCCAGUAAGCGCGAGUCAUAAGCUCGCGUUGAUUACGUCCCUGCCCUUUGUACACACCGCCCGUCGCUACUACCGAUUGAAUGAUUUAGUGAGGUCUUCGGACCGAUGUCCGGCGCGGCCUUUCGGUUGCGCCGGUCUGUUGGAAAGAUGACCAAACUUGAUCAUUUAGAGGAAGUAAAAGUCGUAACAAGGUUUCCGUAGGUGAACCUGCGGAAG
rnacentral:rRNA from 1 species